rnacentral:rRNA from 1 species
AUUGAACGCUGGCGGCAGGCCUAACACAUGCAAGUCGAGCGGAUGAAGGGAGCUUGCUCCUGGAUUCAGCGGCGGACGGGUGUGUAAUGCCUAUGAAUCUGCCUGGUAGUGGGGGAUAACGUCCGUAAACGGGCGCUAAUACCGCAUACGUCCUGAGUGAGAAAGUGGGGGAUCUUCGGACCUCACGCUAUCAGAUGAGCCUAGGUCGGAUUAGCUAGUUGGUGGGGUAAAGGCCUACCAAGGCGACGAUCCGUAACUGGUCUGAGAGGAUGAUCAGUCACACUGGAACUGAGACACGGUCCAGACUACUACGGGAGGCAGCAGUGGGGAAUAUUGGACAAUGGGCGAAAGCCUGAUCCAGCAAUGCCGCGUGUGUGAAGAAGGUCUUCGGAUUGUAAAGCACUUUAAGUUGGGAGGAAGGGAAGUAAGUUAAUACCUUGCUGUUUUGACGUUACCAACAGAAUAAGCACCGGCUAACUUCGUG